GAGGGUAUAGCUCAGUGGUAGAGUUUGCGCUUAGCGCCCAUGAGGUCCUGGGUUCAAUCCCCAGUACCUCCC
rnacentral:tRNA from 1 species